rnacentral:rRNA from 1 species
CCUACGGGGGGCAGCAGUGGGGAAUAUUGGACAAUGGGGGGAACCCUGAUCCAGCCAUGCCGCGUGUGUGAAGAAGGCCCUCGGGUUGUAAAGCACUUUCAGUGAGGAAGAACGCCUGGUGGUUAAUACCCAUCAGGAAAGACAUCACUCACAGAAGAAGCACCGGCUAACUCCGUGCCAGCAGCCGCGGUAAUACGGAGGGUGCGAGCGUUAAUCGGAAUUACUGGGCGUAAAGCGCGCGUAGGUGGCUUGAUAAGCCGGUUGUGAAAGCCCCGGGCUCAACCUGGGAACGGCAUCCGGAACUGGCAAGCUAGGGUGCAGGAGGGGAAGGGAGGAUUCCCGGUGUAGCGGUGAAAUGCGGAGAGAUCGGGAGGAAUACCAGUGGCGAAGGCGGCCUUCUGGACUGACACUGACACUGAGGUGCGAAAGCGUGGGUAGCAAACAGGAUUAGAUACCCCUGUAGUC